AUAGGUUAUUAAGGGCGUAUGGAGGAUGCCUUGGCACAAAAAGGCGAUGAAGGACGCGGCAUGACUGCGAUAAGCGUCGGGGAGCCGUCUAGCGGGCUUUGAUCCGGCGGUGUCCGAAUGGGGCAACCCAUGGCGAGUAAUGUCGCCAUAUCUUUAUCCGUAAGAGAUAAAGGAGCAAACCCGGGGAAGUAAAACAUUUCAGUACCCGGAGGAAAAGAAAAAAAGAAUCAAUCUAUUAUUCAUGGGUCCGGAUAGUCGGGCUAAUGAAUAAUAUUUUGAUAAUAUUCCCCCAGUAGCGGCGAGCGAAAAGGGAGGAGUCCAAACCCAUCCGAUACUUUCGCAAGAAAGUAACGGGUGGGGGUUGUAAGGAAUAAUCGUUCUUGUAGCAAUACAAGAGGAAAGUCUAUAAACUUCCACCCUUCGGGUGGUCGCCCGCAGGGGCGAAAAAAUUGAUUAGUUGAACGGUUUUGGAAAAGCCGACCAAAGGGGGUAAUAGUCCCGUAAGCGAAAAUCUUUUUAAUACUUUCUGGUUAUUUUCUUGAGUACCGCGGGGAAAGACUGCCCCGCGGGAAGCCGGGAGAACUACACUCCCAAGACUAAAUACUUUUUGUGACCGAUAGUGAACUAGUACCGAGAGGGAAAGGNNNNNNNNNNNNNNNNUGUGGUAAGAAGUGAAAAGCUAAUCGAGCCUGGGAAUAGCUGGUUCUCUCCGAAAUAGUUUUAGGACUAGCCCCGCGUGUUUUUUAUUGGAGGUAGAGCACUGGUUGGUAUUGAUUGGCGCAAGCUAGCAAGACCAGUCAAACUCCGAAUUCCAUUAAAAUAACUCGGGAGUCAGUAUUCGGGGGCAAAGCUCCGAAUACAAGAGAGCAAGAACUCGGACCAUCGUCUAAGGUCCCUAAAUUUUGGCUAAGUGUAGAAGGAAGUGAUGCGUCGAAGACAAAUAGGAGGUUGGCUUAGAGGUAGCCAUCCUUUAAAGAGUGUGUAACAACUCACUAUUAUAUUUCCCUUUGGGAGAUUGACGCAUCGCGCCGAAGAUAUAACGGGACUAAGCCAGAUACCGAAGACAUGGGUUUGCGAAUUUUAAUUCGCAAGCGGUAGGAGAGCGUUUUUAGCGCAGCGAAGAUUGACCCGCGAGGGCGAUUGGAGCGCUAAGAAGUGAAAAUGUUGGCAUGAGUAACCUGCAAGACAGAUGAGAAAUCUGUCCGCUGAAAGCCUGAGGUUUCCUUGGCAAUGAAAAUCAGCCAAGGGUUAGGCGGUCCUAAGGCAAUGGAGAAAUCCGCAGCCGAUGGACAGACGGUUAAUAUUCCGUCCCUAUCUCAAGCGCUUUUACGGAAUGACGAAGUUUAGUAUGCCGGGCGCCUUAUUGGAUUGGCGUUCUUUGCAUCAGAGUUUUUGGAAGGCAAAUCCUUCCAAAUGCGUUUAAUCGCAAACUUAAGUGUCGAGAAAAUUUUCCCGUUCGCGGGAAGAAAUUUGGCAAAGCAAGCUUCCAAGAAAACUUUCGUAAAUUAGCUUGAGGUAUCCGUACCGAAAACCGACACAGGUGGGCAGGGCGAGCAGCCCACAGCGAACGAGUGAUCCGUGGUUAAGGAACUCGGCAAAAAAGCGGCCGUAAGUUAGCGAUAUGGCCUGCCCCGCUUAGCGGGGCCGCAGCUAAAGAUUCCCUGGCGACUGUUUAUCAAAAACACAGCUCCCUGCUAACUCGCGAGAGGAUGUAUAGGGGGUGAUGCCUGACCUAUGCGAGAAGGUUAACGGCGGAUGUGGUAUUCCCAGCAAUGGAGAUAUUGCUGAUGCCCGAAGCCCUCGUAAAUGUCAGCGAUAACUAUAAUCGUUCUAAGGUCAUGCUUUUGUUGAUUUAUCAAGGAAGGCAUGAGGACUGGAACGAUUAUAAUAAUGAAAAAAAACGCUGCCUAUUCUAAUGAAAAUUAGAAUGUCUAAAAAUUUUCGGCUAUAUGCUGGAAAAUCUGUGGAUAAAAUCCUCAAGUAUCCGAAACUACUAUGGUAUAAUGCGUCCAUAUAAAUAUGGCGAAAAUAUCAAGUAAAAAAGUUAUCGGCGCAGAUAAUCAGCAGGAAAGGCUAAAAAUUGCUUGGUGGAUUUGCGGUUUUGUUGAUGGAGAAGGUUGUUUUUCGGUAAGUAUAAUCAAAAACAAAACUACCAAAUCGGGAAUUCAAAUUUUUCCAGAAUUUGUCGUAACGCAAGGAGCAAAAAGUUUGUUCGCGCUCAAAAAAAUUAAAAAUUUCUUUGAUUGCGGCAAUAUUUUUGUGAAUAAGCGUUAUGACAAUCACAACGAAAAUCUUUACAGAUAUUGUGUAAGAUCUUUGGAGGACUUAAAGACCAAGAUUAUUCCAUUUUUUAUGGAAAAUAAUCUGAAAACUUAUAAGCGAAAGGAUUUUUCAAUUUUUAAAGAUGUUGUGAGAAUAAUGCUUCAGAAAAAGCACCUAAAUGAUUCCGGUAGAAAUAAAAUUCUUUCUUCAAUCGGUAAAAUGAACAGAAGAAAAAAGCGAUUUUAGAAUCCUCACAGACCAUAUGCCGAACCCUGAGUUUAUCGAAGGGAAGAUAUGGUCGGGACUUUAUGGCGACAUAAAGAUUAACAAAAUCAAGCGAAAUUCCUUGUCUGGUAAGUUCAGACGUGCACGAAAGGCCUAACGACUGGGGAACUGUCUCAACCACGAGCUCGGUGAAAUUGCAAUUCCAGCGAAGAUGCUGGGUACCUGUAGCAAGACGAAAAGACCCCGGGAGCUUUACUGUAACUUAGUAUUGGCUAUAGGACUUUA
rnacentral:rRNA from 1 species